rnacentral:rRNA from 1 species
CAGCAGCCACGGGAAUACGUAGGUGGCAAGCGUUGUCCGGAAUUAUUGGGCGUAAAGGGCUCGCAGGCGGUUUCUUAAGUCUGAUGUGAAAGCCCCCGGCUCAACCGGGGAGGGUCAUUGGAAACUGGGAAACUUGAGUGCAGAAGGGGAGAGUGGAAUUCCACGUGUAGCGGUGAAAUGCGUAGAGAUGUGGAGGAACACCAGUGGCGAAGGCGACUCUCUGGUCUGUAACUGACGCUGAGGAGCGAAAGCGUGGGGAGCGAACAGGAUUAGAUACCCCUGUAGUCCCUGUCUCUUAUAA